GUCUUCGUGGAGUAAUACAGAACUUACUCCCACUCAAUAGUACGUCUUGACACCUGCUCUGGGAAAGUCGGCGGUUCGAAUCCGCCCGAAGACA